AUUAACAAAAUAAAGUAAAUUCAUUAUCACGAAAGAAGGCGAGCUAAACAAAUAUACUUAUUUUUCAAUACGUAGCAUAGUAUUUUCAUAAUAUAUGUUUAGGGGUGAUAGGCUUUUCAAGCUUUCUUAUAACUUGUUUCAUAUGAAAGGUAUUUAGUACUAAAACAGGUUUAAAAAGUUAAGCUUUUAAGCAAUUAUUAAAAGUAUUUUUUAUAUUUAAUUCAGUAUAAUAGCUAGUUAGUAUAAAACUUAAUAUUACUUAUAUGUUUUUAUAUUUAAUAAUAUGACAGCGAAGGUUGGUUUAAGGUUUGAAAAUGUUAAUAUUAGUAUUUUUAAAAGUAUACUAAAGGAACUCGGCAAAUAUCUGCUCAACUGUUUAUCAAAAACAUAGCUAUAUGAACUAAUGUAUAGUUACUUCUGCUCCAUGAUUAUUAAAUAGCCGCAGUACUCUGACUGUGCAAAGGUAGCAUAAUCAAUUGGCUUUUAAUUAGAGUCUGGUAUGAACGAAAGUAUGGGUGGAAACUGUCUUAGUAUAUUAAUUCGAAUUUAUUAAGCAAGUGCAAAUACUUGCAAGUUUAAAAAAGACGAGAAGACCCUAGAAACUUGGAGUAGUUUUUGUUGGGGCGACAGAAUUACAUUUAACUAAUUCUUAUGACAUGACAUUUAAUUGGUAGAAUAAGUUACUCUAGGGAUAACAGCAUAAUUUAAACAGUUUGUGACCUCGAUGUUGGACUAGGUAUUAUACCCUUAAGGCAAGGAUAUAAGAUGCUCUGUUCGAGCAAUUUUACCUACAU
rnacentral:rRNA from 1 species